UUGACAAACGCUGUAUCUUUAUGAUAUAGAGGAAAGUCCAUGCUCGCUAGAGACUGAAAUGUCUCUACAUGUUCAUGCUGAGGGAAAAAAUAACCUCAGGUAGAUUAAUUCUAACGGAAUCGAAAUAAUCUAAGUCUUUGAUAUGAUUAAAUUAGAUAUAAAAGUGCCGCAGUGACGAUGUUUUAAAGAAAUUUAAAAGUGAAACGUGGUAAACCCCAUGAGCGAGAAACCCAAAUUAUGGUAGGGGAGUUCUAUCGAAAGAAUAACAAUGGAGAUAGGAACCAGUAAUGGUAGAUAAAUGUUUGUCGCCUAGAAAUAGGAACAGAACAUGGCUUAUAA
rnacentral:RNase_P_RNA from 1 species